UCUACCUCUCUCACAAACACUACUCGAUAAACACUAAAAAAAAAAUUAGAGAGAGAAAAUUGGGGAGAUAGAGAUAUGGAAGCAUCACCGUGUCAAUCUGAUGUUUGGGUUUCCUCUAAUAGCAGAUUUGAGCAGAAUCCAGAUGAGAAAAGCUUAGCAAAGCAGCAGCAGCAGCAACAGCUAUGGAGGACGACGAGUUCUGGGUCUGGACAUGAUGACGAAGAAGAAUGUGUUGGAUUGAAGAAUGAGAGGAAGAAAAACAAGAAGAAAAACCAGGUUUUGCUAGAAGGGUAUGUGGAGGCGGCAGACGAGGAUAAUCUGAAGAGGGCCAAGAGCUUGACGGACGAUGAUCUUGAUGAGUUAAAAGGGUGUUUGGAUCUGGGAUUUGGGUUCAGCUACGACGAGAUUCCUGAGCUCUGUAAUACUUUGCCAGCUCUCGAGCUCUGCUAUUCGAUGAGCCAAAAGUACAUGGACGAGCAACAGAAAUCGCCUGACAAUUCCGUGGUUGCGUCUUCGGAUUCCUGCUCUUCGGUCUCGAGUCCGAUCGCUAAUUGGAAGAUCUCUAGCCCUGGUGAUCAUCCAGAAGAUGUUAAAGCCAGGCUCAAAUAUUGGGCACAAGCUGUAGCUUGUACUGUCAAAUUGUGCAGCUGAAACAGACUGAAUUCAGCUGCGAAAUCAGUGAAAAGGGAAUCAAAAUUCUUUUAAAAGCCUAAAAAUCGAAAACCAACAUGUUCAACAGAAGCCUGGACCUUCAUGUGGAGCUUGUUCUUCACUGGUCGACUUCUCAGCUGGAAGAAAUUUUCGUGUGGAAUUGGAUAUUGAGAAUUCUGAUGAUGAGGGCUGAUGGAUAUUUUGAAAGGAGAAAAAGACGAGAAAGAAUGUUUCAGCAGUGAGAAAUAUUCAUUUAGAGCUUCAACAACUCUACUUUGCUGAACCUCAGUCUGCAUUUCUGCUGAGCUCUCUUUGACUAGUUAUGAUUGUCCAUCCCGGGCUGGUAUUCGGAGGCAGGUGGAAUGAGAGGGGAGAUUGUGAACUUUUUUUUCUUUGAUUAAUUUCGAAAUUUGUUGUGUUCUUUCUCUCAAUCUAUAACUUGUAUCUUAGUUGUUCACUACAAGGACAAGUAGAGUGAGAUGGGGAGAUUGUGAACAUUGUUUUCUUGAAUGAUUUCAAAAUUGGCUAUGUUAUACCUCUCGGUUUACUUGUAUCCUUGAUGAUUACUGAGGAUUCUAGUUUUUUUUUUCCUUGGAUCCAAGAAACCCUAAGUUAUUAACUGACUUGUGAUGAGUAAACUUUUAAUAAUUAGGGUUUCUCAUUGGAAUUGGCUGUUGACUUUCUUUGUAAUGAAAUUAUAUAAAUGAUACAUUAGAGUGUUACAUUUUUA